rnacentral:rRNA from 1 species
GUGGGGAAUAUUGGACAAUGGGCGAAAGCCUGAUCCAGCCAUGCCGCGUGUGUGAAGAAGGUCUUCGGAUUGUAAAGCACUUUAAGUUGGGAGGAAGGGCAGUAAGUUAAUACCUUGCUGUUUUGACGUUACCGACAGAAUAAGCACCGGCUAACUUCGUGCCAGCAGCCGCGGUAAUACGAAGGGUGCAAGCGUUAAUCGGAAUUACUGGGCGUAAAGCGCGCGUAGGUGGUUCAGUAAGUUGGAAGUGAAAUCCCCGGGCUCAAACUGUGAACUGCUUUCAAAACUGCUGAGCUAGAGUACGGUAGAGGGUGGUGGAAUUUCCUGUGUAGCGGUGAAAUGCGUAGAUAUAGGAAGGAACACCAGUGGCGAAGGCGACCACCUGGACUGAUACUGACACUGAGGUGCGAAAGCGUGGGGAGCAAACAGGAUUAGAAACCCGGGUAGUCC